CAGGGUCAGUGUUCCCGGGUAGGUGACCAUAAAACACCACGUGCUCCCAGGAACCUGGGGGAAAAGCCACCUCUGCCUACAGCCAGCACGCCCACUGUCAUGAUGGGUGCAGAGGGAUGAGGCAGUCGGGUAUUCUGCUGUGGUUUGGGAGCCUGUAAAAUGUGCGACUAGGCCGGGUAUGGUGGCUCCCAUCUACAAAACCAGCACUUCGGGAGGCCAAGGUGGGCGGAUCACCUGAGGUCAGGAGUUUGAGACCAGCCUGGCCAACAUGGUGAAACCCCAUCUCUUAAAAAUAUAAAAUAUAAAAAUUAGCUGGGCAUGGUGGCAGGUGCCUGUAAUCCCAGCUACUCAGGAGGCUGAGGCACGAGAGUAGCUUGAACCUGGCAGGGGUUCCCCACCAAAGGUCUCUGUUUCCUUAAUUCUGAUUACAUGUGUCCCUAGGCCUCUAGGGACUGACCACAGUGGAGCAUGAGGCCUGAUAGAUCCUGGUGGUCACUUGUUGGGCCUGGGGGCAGACCCAGGGUCUUCCCAGUGCAUGAGAAGAGAUGGGUGAGGUGGGACCAGAGUGGGCGACAGUGGCUGGACACCAGCUGCCUGAGCCCCGUCUUACCUCUUUGAGGGUGGAUUUCAUCGUGUCUAUCAUGAACGACAGGGACUCCUUCUCAGAGUAAUUCUGUCUUGAAUCAAAAUAUCCGUGGACUGCUCUGGAAAGUGAGGAGUUGGGGGUUGUUGGGGUUCAUCUUAGAACCGCCUCCCAGCGGUGCCCCCAUCCUGCCCUGGGUUCAGGCCUCUGAGGAGAAACCAAAGCCUGGGCUACCCCAACUCCCACAGCUGGGUCCCUUGACCCUGGGUUGGAUUUGAGGCUCAGUUAAUCUCAGCUCAUGCUCAGCUGGCACAAGCCAGGCACAAGUGAAUGCUGAAGGCACAGCCUUUCUGGGGCACAGGGAGUUCAGGACUUGGUCACAGUCAGCCCUGAAAAGCAGAGCUGGGAUCUGAACAGGCGCUGGAGCCCAUACUUGCUCUGAGAGAGAAUUUAUGUCUUCACAAUCCUCCCGUUGAUAGUCUACAAUUCUGUGGUUUUUAAUACAUUGAGUUGUGAGACCAUCGUCACAAUUACAGGACAUUUUCAUCGCCCCCAAAGAAAUCGCGAACCUCUGAGCUUACGCGGACACACACACACC
rnacentral:lncRNA from 1 species